GCAUUAGAAUGCAGAGAAGAAUUGGCUUAAGUUUAUACAAAUAAAAACUAAAUUCUCUUCAGAUAAAUCAAUUACAGUUAAUUGGUGGAACGUCUUCUAAAGAUCAAAAACAGUAUUGGACUCUUACCUCAUUUACAACCAGGGUGUCCGCAGCUCCUCUGAAGUCCUCUUUUUUUUAAAACCACUUCUAAAAUCCUCUAUUAUCCUCUAAUUAAUUUUUGAUGGAAGUAUAAUGUUCAAAAUACCCAUUCUCGGUCUGCAAAACUGGUUAACGCCUUAAAGUGCAUGGAAAUGUAAAAAAUUACUUUAGCAAAUGCAUGCUAUUUAACAUAAAAAAUGACAUUAUUUGAUCCCUGUCCAAGAAAUUUGUGCAGAUUUUAUUCAGUAAUAUGUAUAUAUUUGUAAUAUUUAGAUAUAUUUUUCAAUAAAACAA